rnacentral:ncRNA from 1 species
ACUGUGGAGUAUUAUAUCAAAUCAAAGUAGUUCUAUAGAACAAAAUGAGAUACGAAGAAACAGUAA